GCCCCGGUAUCCCAACCGGUAGAGGAAGCGGUCUUAAAAACCGCACAGUCUGGGUUCGAACCCCAGUCGGGGCA
rnacentral:tRNA from 1 species